CCCUUAGAUGUUCUGGGCUGCACGCGCGCUACACUGAUGCAUUCAACGAGCCUAUCCUUGACCGACAGGCCCGGGUAAUCUUUGAAUCUGCAUCGUGACGGGGAUAGAUUAUUGCAAUUAUUAAUCUUCAACGAGGAAUGCCUAGUAGGCGCAAGUCAUCAGCUUGCGUCGAUUACGUCCCUGCCCUUUGUACACACCGCCCGUCGCUCCUACCGAUUGGGUGUGCUGGUGAAAUGUUCGGAUCGGCCGUUUGUCGCGGUUUCCGCGUCAUGUGGCUGAGAAGUUCAUUAAACCCUCCCACCUAGAGGAAGGAGAAGUCGUAACA
rnacentral:rRNA from 1 species